ACCAGGUUCUGAGCCACCGACAGGACUCGAAACCUAUCAACCACCAAUGACCACAGUUUUCCGUCUCCAUGACGUUCAUCCUAGGGAGCCUAUUUCUUCUCCUUCAGCUCCCUAUCCCGCUGCUGUGAAAAAACGGGAUAACCCAAAUCAGCAACCAAAAACUCAGGGAGGAUGGGAGGGACAAAUUCAGCCAGGUAGGAAAUUAAAAGUGAAUCAUUUAAAAUGGAUGCCUAUUUAAAUAGCCAAGCCUACUUACC